rnacentral:tRNA from 1 species
AACUGGCUAGCUCAGUUGGUAGAGCAUGAGACUCUCAAUCUCAGGGCCAUGAGUUCAAGUCCCACGUUGGGCA